rnacentral:rRNA from 1 species
ACGCGACCCCAGGUCAGGNGGGGCUAC